rnacentral:rRNA from 1 species
GACGAACGCUGGCGGCGUGCUUAACACAUGCAAGUCGAACGGUGAAGCUCCAGCUUGCUGGAGUGGAUCAGUGGCGAACGGGUGAGUAACACGUGAGCAACCUGCCCCUGACUCUGGAAUAAGCGCUGGAAACGGCGUCUAAUACUGGAUACGAGAAGGGUCCGCAUGGGCACUUUCUGGAAAGUUUUUCGGUUGGGGAUGGGCUCGCGGCCUAUCAGCUUGUUGGUGAGGUAAUGGCUCACCAAGGCGACGACGGGUAGCCGGCCUGAGAGGGCGACCGGCCACACUGGGACUGAGACACGGCCCAGACUCCUACGGGAGGCAGCAGUGGGGAAUAUUGCAAUGGGCGAAAGCCUGAUGCAGCGACGCCGCGUGAGGGAUGACGGCCUUCGGGUUGUAAACCUCUUUCAGCAGGGAAGAAGCGAAAGUGACGGUACCUGCAGAAGAAGCACCGGCUAACUACGUG